rnacentral:rRNA from 1 species
AAUAGAUACCCAGGUAGUCCACGCCGUAAACGAUGAGUGCUAAGUGUUAGGGGGUUUCCGCCCCUUAGUGCUGCAGCUAACGCAUUAAGCACUCCGCCUGGGGAGUACGGUCGCAAGACUGAAACUCAAAGGAAUUGACGGGGGCCCGCACAAGCGGUGGAGCAUGUGGUUUAAUUCGAAGCAACGCGAAGAACCUUACCAGGUCUUGACAUCCCAUUGACCACUAUGGAGACAUAGUUUUCCCUUCGGGGACAACGGUGACAGGUGGUGCAUGGUUGUCGUCAGCUCGUGUCGUGAGAUGUUGGGUUAAGUCCCGCAACGAGCGCAACCCUUGUUCUUAGUUGCCAUCAUUUAGUUGGGCACUCUAAGGAGACUGCCGGUGACAAACCGGAGGAAGGUGGGGAUGACGUCAAAUCAUCAUGCCCCUUAUGACCUGGGCUAUACACGUGCUACAAUGGACGGUACAAACGGUUGCCAACCGCGAGGGGAGCUAAUCCGAUAAAACCGUUCUCAGUUCGGAUUGUAGCUGCAACUCGCUACA